ACAAACUUGGUCAUUUAGAGGAAGUAAAAGUCGUAACAAGGUUUCCGUAGGUGAACCUGCGGAAGGAUCAUUACAAAUCGUUGGGAGAGGAGGUGGGACUUAGGGCAGCCUCUGUUAGGGGGCAGCCUCUGUUAGGGGGCAGCCUCUGUUAGGGGGCAACCUCUGUUAGGGGUGACCUCUGCCAGCCUCUCUCUCCACAUGUGUGCGGGGUCGCAAGGCCCUGUGACAUUUGCGCUUGUCCUGUUUGUCAGAGUAGCGAUCAUCUCAAUGUGACAACUUUUAACAAUGGAUCUCUUGGCUCUUGCAUCGAUGAAGAACGCAGC
rnacentral:misc_RNA from 1 species